CCCGAGGAAUCCUCUGGAGAUACAGGCCCGCGCAUGCGCGUGCUCGAGCGCUGAAGCCCAUUGCCCGCAGGGCGCUGGACUGGCGCCCCGGCCGGCGAGGCUGUCUAGUCCAGGCUCCAGGCCCCGGCUCUGGCCAGGCGCCGCCGCCUCCCGGUGCAGCUGAAAGUCGACGAAGAGGGCGGGGCGGGGGCGGCUUGUGGACUUCCACACUUUUCCUCUCUUCGGGCCAGUCUGGGGAGAGGGUGGCUAGCUGUGGCGGCGGCCAAUUACGUGGCGGACCUGCGGGGCUAAGCUGGCACGUCACUUCCGACUAGUGGAGUUUUUAGCCUUUUAACAUUCAAGGAUUAGGUAAAAGUCUUGCAGUGAAAAACCCGAGGACCCUUACCGCAAGUGUCUUUUGCUCCCAGCUACUGAUACUGGAUUCCACUCGUGAUUCUCCCUUUCUUAGCGCAUUCAUGAUAUAGACAUCAGUCUCUGAGCUGGAGGAGGACAAAGGCAGCGGUCCUGUGAAUUCUAUGCUCUAGCUUGGGUUAAGGGAUUUGGAAUUGCACUUGUUUCAGAGAGCUCCCUCUUUGCCCACUAGCAGGGCAUUAGCUGGUGCUGAAGACAGUGGCUGCUUGGCGAGCCUGGAUCUCCAAGUGACCCCCUCAGCAACUCCUGAUGAACAGGACUGAAGCCAAUAUUAAAGCAAGUCAACCAAAGGUUCUCUGGUGUAGACAAGACAGCAAAAGGACAGACUACCUUGUGGAACCUAGCAUUGUUCUCCUUCUGCAGCACUAAGUAACAUUUGUUCUCCGUUAAGAUCUUUGCAAACCACACACAAGAAUUGCUGGUCAUCCUGCCAAUAGAUGCUGCUCACAGAACCAAAUUUCCUGUGCUGAAUUGUCACUCAUGGGCUUGAGAGUAGGAGACUGGAGACCAAGGUGGCUAGAAUCCAGUUGGGCCUGAUGUCUCCCUGUUGAAAGGGCUCCUUGUGGAAUGAAUAGCACAUGGCUCCUGUGGUGGAUCUGAUAGUGGCAUAGCACCAAGUGAUGCAGGCCUGCCAGGGGCCACAGACACAGAAGAUGCUCCCGGGGUCCCCCAUGUACUCCAGACACACUGCAGGCCACCUCUCCCAGCAGGUUGCCAGUCAUGGGCCCCAUCAUCAUGACUUCUGUCCAAGGCAAUCAGGAAAUGAUUCCUUUCCCGACUGCUUCUGUCUAGUGCCUGGGAAUCUUGAGUCAAUCCCUCAGUAAGUCAGUGACUAGGGAAAUCCCUCUCUGAGCCUCCCAGUUCAUGUUGCUUAGGGAACCUGAUAUUUUCGUGAAACCUGCCUACACAUGGGCAGCCCAACAGCAGAACAAAUGGUGGUGACCAAAGUGAACAAAGAAGUAUAGUUGUGCCAGCUUCGUAGUUGCCCAUGUGGACAAGUCAGCAGGAUCAGGACACGAGGAAGAGUAAAUGUGAGACAGUCAAUGUGACUUCUGCGAUAAACAGAUUUUUAAACCCCGAAAUUUUGCAAAAUUUUGGUGAAACCUGAACUUUCUUCGUUGCAUAUACUGGCACUAUCUGUACCAUCAUACAACUGUCUCACAUUAAAGCUAUUUUUCUUGGGCACUGAUGAGUAAGGUUGGUAUAAGUUCCUCAGAUCAACAAAAACCCAUUUUCCUGUAAGUCUUACAUUUAGUAUUUAAGGAACUAAAACUUAAAUACAUUUUGUGAAAUGGUUGACACUUCACUGAUAAUGAUUUAUUGCUUGGAUUAAUAAAUUUUCCAAAAGUUGUCUUAUGUAGAAUAUGGUUUGCAACCAGCAGAACCAUUAAUCUAUACUGCAAUGAUAUGCACUAUGUAUAAUUGUUUAAAAGCCUCUACUUAAUGAUGUAAAAUGCUCUAUUUAAUUACACAUUUGGGUAAACUGUAUACUAACAUCUGAUGGCAUUUUUCCACUGUUUGUUGCUUUUUUCAAAUACUUUAUUGUACAAAGCUGUUCUUAAUAUUUUUCAAGUUUUUUUCUUUGAAUUUUGCUAAUGUUUUCCUUGAAUUAUGAGCACUGACAGAAUGUGCUUAGCACUUUUGGCUAUUCACACAGCUUUUGAGCAUGAUUUGCAUCCAAUAUUUACAUUGCUAGCAAUAAUAAGCCAUCUGUGAGUUUUGUCAAAAGUUAUUGGGGAUUUUUUAAAUUUUAGAAAUGCAAAUUAUUGUUUCUUUGAACUAACUCUUAUGCAGUUGCAAAGGCAUUUCCAGUUGUUAUAGUUUGUGUACAAUAUCAGGUGUUCCAGAUUAUGAUUCAU
ensembl:lncRNA HCG18 HLA complex group 18